GAUGAACACUGGCGGCGUGCCUAAUACAUGCAAGUCGGGCGAACAGACGAGGAGCUUGCUCCUCUGACGUUAGCGGCGGACGGGUGAGUAACACGUGGAUAACCUACCUAUAAGACUGGGAUAACUUCGGGAAACCGGAGCUAAUACCGGAUAAUAUAUUGAACCGCAUGGUUCAAUAGUGAAAGACGGUUUUGCUGUCACUUAUAGAUGGAUCCGCGCCGCAUUAGCUAGUUGGUAAGGUAACGGCUUACCAAGGCAACGAUGCGUAGCCGACCUGAGAGGGUGAUCGGCCACACUGGAACUGAGACACGGUCCAGACUCCUACGGGAGGCAGCAGUAGGGAAUCUUCCGCAAUGGGCGAAAGCCUGACGGAGCAACGCCGCGUGAGUGAUGAAGGUCUUCGGAUCGUAAAACUCUGUUAUUAGGGAAGAACAAAUGUGUAAGUAACUAUGCACGUCUUGACGGUACCUAAUCAGAAAGCCACGGCUAACUACGUG
rnacentral:rRNA from 1 species